rnacentral:rRNA from 1 species
GAAUAUUAGUCAAUGAUCGAAAGAUUGAUCUAGUUACUUAGAAAGAUGAAGAUUAUAAAAAUAAUAAAAAAAAAAUAAUAAUGAAGAAUAUAAAAUCAAUAUAUAUAUAAAAGAACCCCACCUACGGUGGGGUUCCUAAGAGAAUAAUGAUGAUUAUAUAUAUAGAAGUCUUAACCAAAAUUAGUGCCAGCAGUUGCGGCUAAACUAAGGAGGCAAACGUUAAUCAUUAAUGGCUUAAAGGAUCCGUAGAAUGAUAUAGUAAAAAUACAUAUUAGAGUUAAAUUGAAUAAUUAUGAAAAAUUAUAUUGAGAGAUGAAAUGUGUGGAAAAUAAUUAGACAAAUAAACGUGAAGAUAAAAUUAAAAAUUUAACUGACAUUGAGGGAUGAAGGCAUGAUUAGCAAAACGGAUUAGAUACCCGAGUAGUUCAUGCAGUAAACGAUGAAUACCCCCUAAAGGGGAAGCGAAAGCUAAAGUAUUCCGCCAGGAGAGUAUAGCUUCAAAGUUGAAAUCCAAGACAAUAGACGGUUACAGUUGUAGGCAGUGGAUUGUGUUAUUUAAU